UUCCAUUUAGUCGAUCAGACUCAUCGUUCAUUAUUUGAUGACAGUUGGCUUUUUGCUAGCCAGAAACUCUGGAUUUAGUCUAAGCUGAAGUCUAAGUUUGGCCUCACAUCUAUUUAAAACCCUCUGAGGUCUAAGGACAUUUUUACAUUUAUUUUUAAAUUCACAUUUUAAGGAUAUUUGCAUAUAACCGGAUCCCAAUGUGUAAAGAAAUCAUUCAUUUGGCCCUAAAGCUGAAAAGUUGAUGUUCGCUUUUAAAUAUUUCUCCAAUCUCUUGUGAAGUGACUGGGUUCACAAAAGUAGCGUAAUAUAUGAAUAAAAUAGUAAAUAAAUCUCUAACAUGAACUUUUGAGUAGGAGCGUUGUCAAACAUCGCUUGGACUCGCUGAUGCGUCUUUUGUCCUCAGAGGGUUAAUCGCCAUCGUGCCAGUCACCAAACUGAAUCCACUAAUACUGCAUUCCUGAGCUGUGUCUGUCUGUGUUUCUGUUCUCUGUGUGUCCAAAGGGUCUGCUGGGUUCCCUGAUUUCGCAAGUGUUUAGGCCCCAGACUCCAGGCAAGAGUAUGCUUGACCUUUUUUCCAAUACAAAGUGGACGUAGCCACCUUUCUCCCUUGCUGUGUUUUUCCAGUGGUCUGUAAAUAAUGCUGCAAACUGCCUGGUUUUCAAAAACCAACGAAACCCAUGCAAGGAUCUCUUAAAGACGGGACAGCAUGUAGUCUUUCACGUGGUUCCUAAAGUGAUGGGAGAAAAGUGAGUUUCAUUUGUUUACAUUAUGUUUACAAUGGCACAGUUUUAAUUUGUAAGAAUAUAUAUGUAGGUAUAAACAAUAUUUGCAUAUUUAUUGCCUAAGGUUAAAAUGACAUGAUGUUUAUUGUGUUUUCACAUUUGGAAUAUAAUGUUACAGUUGUCACCUGUAUUACUAUCUGGAUGAUUUUGGUAAAGUAGUUGAUCAUUUUUAUGACUACUAAAUGACUGUUUUCUGUGCCUUUUUAUGGUUAGAAUGCAUGGUUAACUAUUUAUUACAAUUUGGAGUCACUGAGAUGUGUAUUUUUGUAUUCUGAAUAAAUAAAUGGUUCAGCUUUUGUUGUACAUUUUUAAGGUGCCUUAAAACAGGCUACCUAUUCAUAUCUCUCUUCAAUAAAAACCAAAUACAUAUGCA